rnacentral:tRNA from 1 species
AAGGGAGACCUAAUUCAGGUAUGGGACGAAAAAAAAGUAGUCGCUACCAAGAAUCAAUCCCAAAAGGUCGGAGCGAGGCAAAAUUGGCUUUCAAACUAGGUUCUGGGUUCACACAAGACCUGAAUCAGGAACAAGGGCUAUUAGCUCAGGUGGUUAGAGCGCACCCCUGAUAAGGGUGAGGUCCCUGGUUCGAGUCCAGGAUGGCCCACCUGCACAGGUGGCAAAAACAAGAGAAGCGAGGAAUCAGCACCUUAUCUUACUGACAUAGUAAGGGGGAAUGCUGGCUCUGAGUAAAGAGUCCAGAGGAACCUUGAAAACUGCAUAGAGCUAGGUGAAAAAGCCAAAAAAGAAGACCGCAA